rnacentral:rRNA from 1 species
CCCCAGCGCCACGAGUGGGAAUCGGUAUUAUUGGGUCUAAAGCGUCCGUAGCAGGUCUGCUAAAUUGCUUGUGAAAUCGUGCAACUUAAUUGUACAACGUGCAGGUAAGACUGGCAGACUAGAGACCGGGAGACGUUGAAGGUAUUCAGAGGGGAGCGGUAAAAUGCGAGAAUCCUCUGAGGACCACCUGUUGCGAAGGCGUUCAACAAUAACGGGUCUGACUGUGAGGGUCGAAAGCUAGGGGA